rnacentral:rRNA from 1 species
CGGACGGGUGAGUAACGCGUGAGCAACCUACCUUUCAGAGGGGGAUAACGGUUUGGAAACGAACGCUAAUACCGCAUGAUAUUAUUAAGCUGCAUGGCUUGAUAAUCAAAGGAGCAAUCCGCUGAAAGAUGGGCUCGCGUCCGAUUAGGUAGUUGGUGAGAUAACGGCCCACCAAGCCGACGAUCGGUAGCCGGACUGAGAGGUUGAACGGCCACAUUGGGACUGAGACACGGCCCAGACUCCUACGGAAGGCAGCAG